rnacentral:rRNA from 1 species
GAGUUUGAUCUUGGCUCAGAUUGAACGCUGGCGGCAUGCCUUACACAUGCAAGUCGAACGGCAGCACGGGAGCUUGCUCCUGGUGGCGAGUGGCGAACGGGUGAGUAAUGCAUCGGAACGUAUCCUGGAGUGGGGGAUAACGUAGCGAAAGUUACGCUAAUACCGCAUAUUCUGUGAGCAGGAAAGCGGGGGACCUUCGGGCCUCGCGCUCUAGGAGCGGCCGAUGUCGGAUUAGCUAGUUGGUGAGGUAAAGGCUCACCAAGGCGACGAUCCGUAGCAGGUCUGAGAGGAUGAUCUGCCACACUGGAACUGAGACACGGUCCAGACUCCUACGGGAGGCAGCAGUGGGAAUUUUGGACAAUGGGGGCAACCCUGAUCCAGCCAUGCCGCGUGAGUGAAGAAGGCCUCGGUUGUAAG